AGGAACUUAGGAUAAUAGUACCAAAAGCCUUCAAAGCUUUAAGUAGAAGUUAAAAUCUUCUAGUUCCUG
rnacentral:tRNA from 1 species